rnacentral:rRNA from 1 species
GACGAACGCUGGCGGCGUGCUUAACACAUGCAAGUCGAACGAUGAAGCAAAGAAUUGAAGCUUCGGCAGAAAUUCAUUUCGGAUUAGUGGCAGACGGGUGAGUAACGCGUGAGCAACCUACCUCUUACAAAGGGAUAGCCUCGGGAAACCGGGAUUAAUACCAUAUAACAUUGCGACGAAGCAUUUCGAUGCAAUCAAAGCUACGGCGGUAAGAGAUGGGCUCGCGUCCCAUUAACCAGAUGGUGAGGUAACGGCUCACCAUAGUAACGAUGGGUAACCGGCCUGAGAGGGUGAACGGUCACACUGGAACUGAGACACGGUCCAGACUCCUACGGGAGGCAGCAGUGGGGAAUAUUGCACAAUGGAGGGAACUCUGAUGCAGCGACGCCGCGUGAGUGAUGAAGGAAUUCGUUUCGUAAAUCUCUGUUCUAUGGGAAGAAAAGGACUGUACCAUAGGAGAAAGCUCCGGCUAAAUACGUG